AGUGAACGCUGGCGGUAGGCCUAACACAUGCAAGUCGAACGGCAGCACAGUAAGAGCUUGCUCUUACGGGUGGCGAGUGGCGGACGGGUGAGGAAUACAUCGGAAUCUACUUUUUCGUGGGGGAUAACGUAGGGAAAUUUUACGCUAAUACCGAAUACGACUUACGGGUGAAAGCAGGGGAUCUUCGGACUUUGCGCGAUUGAAUGAGCCGAUGUCGGAUUAGCUAGUUGGCGGGGUAAAGGCCCACCAAGGCGACGAUCCGUAGCUGGUCUGAGAGGAUGAUCAGCCACACUGGAACUGAGACACGGUCCAGACUCCUACGGGAGGCAGCAGUGGGGAAUAUUGGACAAUGGGCGCAAGCCUGAUCCAGCCAUACCGCGUGGGUGAAGAAGGCCUUCGGGUUGUAAAGCCCUUUUGUUGGGAAAGAAAAGCAGCAGGUUAAUACCCCGCUGUUCUGACGGUACCCAAAGAAUAAGCACCGGCUAACUUCGUG
rnacentral:rRNA from 1 species